rnacentral:rRNA from 1 species
UACAGAGGGGGCAAGGGUUGUUCGGAAUUACUGGGCGUAAAGGGCGCGUAGGCGGUUCGUUAAGUCCUGUGUGAAAUCCCCCGGCUCAACUGGGGAACUGCACAGGAAACUAGCGGGCUUGAGUUCGGGAGAGGGAAGCGGAAUUCCGGGUGUAGCGGUGAAAUGCGUAGAUAUCCGGAGGAACACCGGUGGCGAAGGCGGCUUCCUGGACCGACACUGACGCUGAGGCGCGAAAGCUAGGGGAGCAAACGGG